rnacentral:rRNA from 1 species
GGGUGGUAAAUUCCAUCUAAAGCUAAAUACAGGCGAGAGACCGAUAGCGAACAAGUACAGUGAAGGAAAGAUGAAAAGAACUUUGAAAAGAGAGUGAAAAAGUACGUGAAAUUGUUGAAAGGGAAGGGCAUUUGAUCAGACAUGGUGUUUUGCGCCCCUUGCCUCUCGUGGGCUUGGGACUCUCGCAGCUCACUGGGCCAGCAUCGGUUUUGGCGGCCGGAAAAAACCUAGGGAAUGUGGCUCUGCGCCUCGGUGUAGAGUGUUAUAGCCCUGGGGAAUACGGCCAGCCGGGACCGAGGACUGCGAUACUUGUUAUCUAGGAUGCUGGCAUAAUGGUUAUAUGCCGCCCGUCUUGAAACACGGAC